rnacentral:rRNA from 1 species
AACCUCCGCAAUGUGAGAAAUCGCGACGGGGGGAUCCCAAGUGCCAUUCUUAACGGGAUGGCUUUUCAUUAGUGUAAAGAGCUUUUGGAAUAAGGGCUGGGCAAGACCGGUGCCAGCCGCCGCGGUAACACCGGCAGCUCUAGUGGUAGCAGUUUUUAUUGGGCCUAAAGCGUCCGUAGCCGGUUUAAUAAGUCUCUGGUGAAAUCCUGUAGCUUAACUGUGGGAAUUGCUGGAGAUACUAUUAGACUUGAGACCGGGAGAGGUUAGAGGUACUCCCAGGGUAGAGGUGAAAUUCUGUAAUCCUGGGAGGACCGCCUGUUGCGAAGGCGUCUAACUGGAACGGUUCUGACGGUGAGGGACGAAAGUUAGGGGCGCGAACCGGAUUAGAUACCCGGGUAGUCCUAACUGUAAACGAUGCGGACUUGGUGUUGGGGUGGCUUUGAGCUGCUCCAGUGCCGAAGGGAAGCUGUUAAGUCCGCCGCCUGGGAAGUACGAUCGCAAGACUGAAACUUAAAGGAAUU